ensembl:snRNA U6 U6 spliceosomal RNA
AUGCUUGCUUCGGCAGCACAUAUACUAAAAUUGGAAUGGUAUAGAGAAGAUUAGCAUGGCCCCUGUGCAAGGAUGGCAUUCAGUUUCGUGAAGCACCACACCCAACCUCU